UACGAAGGGGGCUAGCGUUGCUCGGAAUUACUGGGCGUAAAGGGCGCGUAGGCGGACAGUUUAGUCAGAGGUGAAAGCCCAGGGCUCAACCUUGGAAUUGCCUUUGAUACUGGCUGUCUUGAGUUCGGGAGAGGUGAGUGGAAUGCCGAGUGUAGAGGUGAAAUUCGUAGAUAUUCGGCGGAACACCAGUGGCGAAGGCGACUCACUGGCCCGAUACUGACGCUGAGGUGCGAAAGCGUGGGGAGCAAACAGG
rnacentral:rRNA from 1 species